rnacentral:rRNA from 1 species
GAUGAACGCUGGCGGCGUGCCUAAUACAUGCAAGUCGAGCGAACAGAUGAGGAGCUUGCUCCUCUGACGUUAGCGGCGGACGGGUGAGUAACACGUGGAUAACCUACCUAUAAGACUGGGAUAACUUCGGGAAACCGGAGCUAAUACCGGAUAAUAUAUUGAACCGCAUGGUUCAAUAGUGAAAGACGGUUUUGCUGUCACUUAUAGAUGGAUCCGCGCCGCAUUAGCUAGUUGGUAAGGUAACGGCUUACCAAGGCAACGAUGCGUAGCCGACCUGAGAGGGGGAUCGGCCACACUGGAACUGGGACACGGGCCAGACUCCUAAGGGAGGGAGCAGUAGGGAAUCUUCCGCAAUGGGCGAAAGCCUGACGGAGCAACGCCGCGUGAGUGAUGAAGGUCUUCGGAUCGUAAAACUCUGUUAUUAGGGAAGAACAAAUGUGUAAGUAACUAUGCACGUCUUGACGGUACCUAAUCAGAAAGCCACGGCUAACUACGUG